rnacentral:rRNA from 1 species
AUUGAACGCUGGCGGCAUGCUUUACACAUGCAAGUCGAACGGUAACAGGCCUUCGGGUGCUGACGAGUGGCGAACGGGUGAGUAAUGCAUCGGAACGUACCCAGAGGUGGGGGAUAACGCAGCGAAAGCUGUGCUAAUACCGCAUGUGAUCUGAGGAUGAAAGCGGGGGACCGAGCAGCAAUGUUUGGCCUCGCGCCUUCGGAGCGGCCGAUGUCGGAUUAGCUAGUUGGUGGGGUAAAGGCCUACCAAGGCGACGAUCCGUAGCUGGUCUGAGAGGACGACCAGCCACACUGGGACUGAGACACGGCCCAGACUCCUACGGGAGGCAGCAGUGGGGAAUUUUGGACAAUGGGCGCAAGCCUGAUCCAGCAAUGCCGCGUGCGGGAAGAAGGCCUUCGGGUUGUAAACCGCUUUUGGCAGGAACGAAACGGUGUCCGCUAAUACCGGGCGCUAAUGACGGUACCUGCAGAAUAAGCACCGGCUAACUACGUG